AUCCGGAGUGGCUCUGCUUCUCACAGCCAACCUGUAGGUUGUGGGCUGGUCUUGCUCCACCUGCCUCUCCUCCUCCAUCAGCUAGCCCGCCAUGUCCCUCUCUGGCAGGAGCUGAUGGAACCAGGCAGAGCCUCAUAAGGAAGGCCAGUGGUGAUGGAAUUCAGAGCCCCAAAGAAGCCAAGGCAGAUGUUGUACUAACUGGAAGAUGGAUGUAAGGGCUGGAGCUAGAGCAGCCAUCUAGGACUGUAAAAUGGAAAGUGAACCUCAUGCAGCUGGUGGAGAAGCAAGUUUGAAGGAGUCUGGACACCGGAUGAUUUCAUAAAGCUGAUCUAUAACCCCCA